rnacentral:lncRNA from 1 species
AUUCUGUAACUUUUAACAAAUCGAAUAGAAAUGACCAAGUCGAAUCGUAAUUACCCGAAAUCGGAAUGUUUGAUAUCUAUCGCGUCAUUGUUGUGUUUGGAUUGGCAUUCUGUAACUCACAUCGCAAUAAGAGUAAAUCGAAAUCUCUAACUUCUAUUUCACCCGCUCAGGAGGUGGUGGCAACCCCGCAUUAACCAGCGAAAUUAGUAUUCUGUAACUUGUUUGUUACUGGAUAUAAAAUUGAAAUAUGACACCGUUGCCAUAUCAUCAAUGUUUUAACACUAUCCUCAAGUUUUGAAAAGUAAAUAAAAUAUUAGUGUAAAUACUGGAUGCAAAAAGCUCAAAAGAGGAUAAAUGGUUUCAAAUUAAAGUUAAUUAAAAUUGUUAUAAAAAAAAAGAAGAUAAACUCAUAAAUGAAAAAGAUAAAUGAAGAUAAAAUGUAUAAAUGCUUUUAAAUCAAAGAUAUUUAAAUUGAUGUUAUUAAUUAUUAUUGUUAAUAAAUUAUUUAAAAUUGAUAUUACUAAUAAUAUGCAAUCUUUAAGAUUUGAUUCCAGCUGAAAUAACUGCUAAACAACUUUUCCCAAAAACGGCCUCUUUUCUAUAAUUUGCGUUGAUUGUUAAAUAUACAAGUAUAGUGGUAUAAUAUAUUUAUCAAUCAACGCAUAAGUCUAUCUUAUGCUAUUCUUGUAUAUUAUACCAUUGAUUGAAAUUGUCCAAGAAAUAAACAAAAAAAGUAUGGCAAGACUGUGACAGGCAAACAUUCAGAUGCCAAAUAGCAAAUAAAUUAAGGUUAGGACCAAUGCAUACUCGUACAACAUGUCUAAAUUAAAUAUAUAAUUCUCCAAAUAAAUAACACUACAGACUAAAAAAUUAAGCAGCUACAAGAAGGUAUACAUACUAUAAACAAUUAUAAAUAAGUAGUAAUCAAUUGUUUUCAGUAGAUAUAUUAUAUAAACGUCAAAACAAAAAAAAUGCCCUUGUGCCAAGCACAAUUCCGAUAUCGAAAUCUCAUCUCGACAGGGUAGAUGCUGUUAUUCACUAUUACGUUUGUAGAGAUUCUGAAGUAGUUAUGGAAUACCGAGUU